CGACCUCAGAUCAGACGAGACGACCCGCUGAAUUUAAGCAUAUUACUAAGCGGAGGAAAAGAAACUAACCAGGAUUCCCUCGGUAGCUGCGAGCGAAGAGGGAAGAGCCCAGCGCCGAAUCCCCCGUCCCCUCGUGGGCGCGGGGAAAUGUGGCGUACGGAAGUCCGCAUCGCCCGGCGCGGGCCGGGGGCCUGAGUCCUUCUGAUGGAGGCUCAGCCCGUGGACGGCGUGAGGCCGGUAACGGCCCCCACCCCGCCGGGGCGCGGACUUCUCAGAGUCGGGUUGUUUGGGAAUGCAGCCCAAAGAGGGUGGUAAACUCCAUCUAAGGCUAAAUA
rnacentral:rRNA from 1 species